GUGGGAGUGGCCAGGGCGGGCCACAUUUGGGCUAAAGGCCAGGUGAGGGGGCUGGGCGUCCCAGAGGAAUUGGUCUGGGGCAGGUUGGGACUGAGUCGCUGGCAGAGAGAGGGGACCACAGGAGUGUGGGUCCUUCACUCCUAGGAAAGCGCAGGAGCUUCACACGUGGUGCAGCACGUGGCGGGACUCCUUCAUCAUAAGACUGCAUGCUGCGCCCUGGCAGCUGAGAUGCUUCCCCCUCUAGGCUGUUGUGAAUGGUGCCACCGCUGUGAAGAGAAGGAAGGAGCAGCUUCACACUGCGGGACCUCACAGGACACUGCCUUGGCCACGUGGUCAGUGUUAACCUCCCCAGGACCAGGCACAUCUGACCAGCUGCCUCCCGCUGUGACCCCAUGGAAGGACUCAGUGUCAUCUGCAGGAUCUUGUCAGGAACGUACAGCCUGAAUCUGAUCAUGGGAAGUACCAGGGAGACCUCAACAGAGGAAUAUGCUGAAAAUGCUGCGGCUUGUCUUCUUCAAAAUCUUCAAAGUCAUACUGGGUGUGCUGGUGCAGCCUGUCAUCCCUGCAUUCUAGGAGGCUGAGGCAGGAGGAACAGAAGAGGAAGACCAGCCUGGGUGAAACCUUUCUCUUACUACUCCAUUCUCAAGGAGCCAGGACGUCUCCAGCUGAUGUAAUCUUGGCCUGGACUGUCACAGCAUCACCGGAGGUCUCAGCUGUGACCAGAGGCAAAAAUGGAGUUAUGCCUGGACAUGCCAUAGCCCCCCUGCAGGCAGGAAAACAAGGCCUAAACAUAAUUUAAUCUUGCAAUGCUUUUCCCCCAAAGUUAUGUAGACUUGCUCUUGACAUCAACCCAUGUAUAAUUUACUGUGGCAUGCGAGGCUAGAAUCUAACCUUUCUUGAGGCAGUUACCCUGGCCUGACAUUGUUUAUGAAUAACUCAUCCAUUUCACACUUAUUCAGAAUGAAAAUCCUUAUCAUAUAUUACAUUUUCAUUUUUCUCUUUUUUCUCCUGUAUCUCUUAAGAAAGAGGAUCAAGGGAUGGGUGGAGGGCAUAGAGAGGGAAGGGAAAGCAGAUGAAAAAGAAAUUAUGAUCUCUUAUGUACAUGUACCAACCUCCCAC
rnacentral:lncRNA from 1 species